rnacentral:rRNA from 1 species
GACGAACGCUGGCGGCGUGCUUAACACAUGCAAGUCGAACGGAAAGGCCCUGCUUUUGUGGGGUGCUCGAGUGGCGAACGGGUGAGUAACACGUGAGUAACCUGCCCUUGACUUUGGGAUAACUUCAGGAAACUGGGGCUAAUACCGGAUAGGGGCUCCUGCUGCAUGGUGGGGGUUGGAAAGUUUCGGCGGUUGGGGAUGGACUCGCGGCUUAUCAGCUUGUUGGUGGGGUAGUGGCUUACCAAGGCUUUGACGGGUAGCCGGCCUGAGAGGGUGACCGGCCACAUUGGGACAGAGGUACGGAACAAAGUCCUACGGGAGGCAGAGGUGGGGAAUAUUGCACAAUGAGCGGAAGCCUGAUGCAGCAACGCCGCGUGCGGGAUGACGGCCUUCGGGAUGUAAACCGCUUUCGCCUGUGACGAAGCGUGAGAGACGGUAAUGGGUAAGGAAGCACCGGCUAACUACGUG